rnacentral:misc_RNA from 1 species
GGAAGCAAGAAUAUUCGAUGGCCACAAGAUCUAAUUGGAGGCAGCCUUGUAGGAUCAUGAAACAAGUCUGUAAACUGCUCCAGUAUACCCUCCAAGCUAGUUUUUGAUUCUCCAUUCCCAUUCAAUAGAUGAACUUUAGGAUUAUGGUCAGGUUGAAGUCCUUGUAGAGUAACUUGUUUAUCCCCCAAUUCAAAAUUCAUAGUAAGAGUUGCAAAGUUCCACCAUAUUGGGCCCAACGUCAUCAGCCAUCAUACACCUAGUACAACAUCAAA